rnacentral:rRNA from 1 species
UGGGGAAUAUUGCACAAUGGGCGCAAGCCUGAUGCAGCCAUGCCGCGUGUAUGAAGAAGGCCUUCGGGUUGUAAAGUACUUUCAGCGGGGAGGAAGGGAGUAAAGUUAAUACCUUUGCUCAUUGACGUUACCCGCAGAAGAAGCACCGGCUAACUCCGUGCCAGCAGCCGCGGUAGUACGGAGGGUGCAAGCGUUAAUCGGAAUUACUGGGCGUAAAGCGCACGCAGGCGGUUUGUUAAGUCAGAUGUGAAAUCCCCGGGCUCAACCUGGGAACUGCAUCUGAUACUGGCAAGCUUGAGUCUCGUAGAGGGGGGUAGAAUUCCGGGUGUAGCGGUGAAAUGCGUAGAGAUCUGGAGGAAUACCGGUGGCGAAGGCGGCCCCCUGGACGAAGACUGACGCUCAGGUGCGAAAGCGUGGGGAGCAAACAGG